GACGAACCGAGCGAACGUUAUUCGGAAUCACUGGGCUUAAAGGGCGCGUAGGCGGGUCAGCAAGUCAGGGGUGAAAUCCCACGGCUCAACCGUGGAAGUGCCUUUGAUACUGUUGAUCUCGAGGGAGGUAGGGGCGUGCGGAACUUCCGGUGGAGCGGUGAAAUGCGUAGAUAUCGGAAGGAACAUCAGUGGCGAAAGCGACUUCCUGGACCAGUACCGACGUUCAGGCACGAAAGCGUGGGGAGCAAACAGG
rnacentral:rRNA from 1 species